rnacentral:rRNA from 1 species
UACGUAGGGUGCAAGCGUUAUCCGGAAUUAUUGGGCGUAAAAGAGCUCGUAGGCGGUUUUGUCGCGUCUGCUGUGAAAACUGGAGGCUCAACCUCCAGCCUGCAGUGGGUACGGGCAGACUAGAGUGCGGUAGGGGAGAUUGGAAUUCCCGGUGUAGCGGUGGAAUGCGCAGAUAUCAGGAGGAACACCGAUGGCGAAGGCAGAUCUCUGGGCCGUAACUGGACGCUGAGGAGCGAAAGCAUGGGGAGCGAACAGG